UAUGUGAUCGUCUCUCGCAUAUCAAUAAGCGGAGGAAAAGAAACUAACAAGGAUUCCCCUAGUAACGGCGAGUGAAGCGGGAAGAGCUCAAAUUUGAAAUCUUAAAGGGUUUCCCUUUACGAAUUGUAGUUUAAAGAAGUGUUUUCUGUUGAGGUUUUGGUAAAAGUUCUUUGGAAUAGGACAUCAUAGAGGGUGAGAAUCCCGUAUUUGACCUUUACUUUCAACUUUGUGAUACACUUUCAAAGAGUCGGAUUGUUUGGGAAUGCAGUCCAAAAUGGGUGGUAAAUUUCAUCUAAAGCUAAAUAUUGGCGAGAGACCGAUAGCGAACAAGUACCGUGAGGGAAAGAUGAAAAGAACUUUGAAAAGAGAGUUAAACAGUACGUGAAAUUGUCAAAAGGGAAGCGUUUGACACCAGUGUUGUUUUUCUGAAAAUCAAUUAAAGAACUGUUUAUGCUAAGCUGUUUAGACUUUAUCAGCUAACUGUUUAGUUUUGAGCUUUUCUUUAAUGCACUUUUCAGUUAACAAGUCAACAUCAAUUUCUUUUGCUGUAAAAAAGCUUGAGGAAGGUGGCUUGAGAUUCGUCUUAAGUGUUUAUAGCCUCUUGCCUAUGCAGUCGGAGAGAUUGAGGUCUGCAGCGUAGAUCCUUCGGGGCUAAAUGCAUUUGUGCUAAGUUAUAGCAUUUUAUAGACAACUUGUUGACUAUGAUUUGUCUUGUAGCUUACUCGCUUAUGUUAUUUUACCUACGCUUAGGAUGUUGAUCUACAGAGCGAGAG
rnacentral:rRNA from 1 species